rnacentral:rRNA from 1 species
GACGAACGCUGGCGGCGUGCUUAACACAUGCAAGUCGAACGGAAAGGCCCUGCUUGCAGGGUACUCGAGUGGCGAACGGGUGAGUAACUCGUGGGUGAUCUGCCCUGCACUUCGGGAUAAGCCUGGGAAACUGGGUCUAAUACCGGAUAGGAGCCAUUUUUAGUGUGAUGGUUGGAAAGUUUUUUCGGUGUAGGAUGAGCUCGCGGCCUAUCAGCUUGUUGGUGGGGUAAUGGCCUACCAAGGCGGCGACGGGUAGCCGGCCUGAGAGGGUGGACGGCCACAUUGGGACUGAGAUACGGCCCAGACUCCUACGGGAGGCAGCAGUGGGGAAUAUUGCACAAUGGGCGCAAGCCUGAUGCAGCGACGCCGCGUGGGGGAUGACGGCCUUCGGGUUGUAAACUCCUUUCGCUAGGGACGAAGCUUUUUGUGACGGUACCUAGAUAAGAAGCACCGGCUAACUACGUG